GAUGAACGCUGGCGGCGUGCUUAACACAUGCAAGUCGAACGAUGAAGCCCAGCUUGCUGGGUGGAUUAGUGGCGAACGGGUGAGUAACACGUGAGUAACCUGCCCUUAACUCUGGGAUAAGCCUGGGAAACUGGGUCUAAUACCGGAUAGGAGCGUCCACCGCAUGGUGGGUGUUGGAAAGAUUUAUCGGUUUUGGAUGGACUCGCGGCCUAUCAGCUUGUUGGUGAGGUAAUGGCUCACCAAGGCGACGACGGGUAGCCGGCCUGAGAGGGUGACCGGCCACACUGGGACAGAGACACGGCCCGGCCUCCUACGGGAGCAAGCGGUGGGAAAUAUUGCACAAUGGGCGCAGGCCGGAUGCAGCGACGCCGCGUGGGGGAGGACGGCUUUCGGGUUGUAAACCUCUUUCGGUAGGAAAGAGGCGAAAGGACCGUUACCUGCAGAAGAAGCACGGGCAACUACGUG
rnacentral:rRNA from 1 species